rnacentral:rRNA from 1 species
AGGAUCAUUAUUGAUUGUAAACUGUUGCCCUCUGUGCUGGCUCCUGCAAGUGCACGUUGGCGACUUUCAUUCCAAUACCCUUGUGAACCUUUGGCCUCUUGCUAGCUUCCGCUGGCAGAGGAUUCUACAUACAAACUCGAAUGUAAUGAAACCCUUGUUGUGCACAAGCACUACUAUAUACAACUUUCAACAACGGAUCUCUUGGCUCUCGCAUCGAUGAAGAACGCAGCGAAAUGCGAUAAGUAAUGUGAAUUGCAGAAUUCAGUGAAUCAUCGAAUCUUUGAACGCACCUUGCACCCUUUGGCAUUCUGAAGGGUAUGCUCGUUUGAGUGUCAUUGUACUCUCACACUUCCGAUCUUGCAUUGGGAGCGGUGGACUUGGGUUUGCUGCUUUACCGUAGCUUACCUCAAAUGUGUUAGUGCAGCUCUUGGUUGGACAUAAUACGGCGUGAUAAGUAUCUUCGCCGGUGCCUCGCAAAGAGGGUGGCCGAUCAGGAUGGUGUGCUCCAAACCGUCUUCGGACAAUCUCUGACAACUUGACCUCAAAUCGAGUAAGACUACCCGCUGAACUUAAGCAUAUCAAUAAGCGGAGGAAAAGAAACUAACAAGGAUUCCCCUAGUAACGGCGAGUGAAGAGGGAAGAGCUCAAAUUUUGAAUCUGGCGUCUUUGGCGUCCGAGUUGUAAUCUAGAGAAGUGUUUUCCGUGACGGACCGUGCAUAAGUCUCCUGGAAUGGAGUGUCAUAGAGGGUGAGAAUCCCGUACAUGGCAUGGACUCCCGUUACUCUGCGAUACACUCUCGACGAGUCGAGUUGUUUGGGAAUGCAGCUCCAAAUGGGUGGUAAAUGCCAUCUAAAGCUAAAUAUGGGCGAGAGACCGAUAGCGAACAAGUACCGUGAGGGAAAGAUGAAAAGCACUUUGGAAAGAGAGUGAAACAGUACGUGAAAUUGUUGAAAGGGAAACGCUUGAAGUCAGUCACACUCUUUGGGAUUCAGCCUUGCUUGCUUCUGCUGCUCGGUUUACUUCCCAUCGGGUGGGUCAACAUCAGUUUCGGUCGGAGGAGAAAGGCUUGGGGAAGGUAGCAGCAUUCGUGCUGUGUUAUAGACCCUUGUUGUAUACUUCGACUGGGACUGAGGACCGCAGCACGCCUUUGGCCGGGGUUUACCC